AUUAAAAUCUCAAAUAAUGAAUCUUAAUGUUAUUUAGUUGUAAUAACAAAACUUUAUGUGUGUUACAGAGCUGAAGUGUGAAAGUGGCACAACAAAACCCAAACAGGCUGUAAUGGGUGAUUUAAUGAAUCUGUUCAUGUCGAGCUGUCAAUCACUGAGUCAGCCAAAAGAACAGCAUCGCUCAGGAGAAGCUUUACUGAAGCAACUGCUGAACGUGAGUGGUGAGGUUGUAUCCAGUGAGGAUUUCAGGGACAGUUCUACACUGACUGAGUUUCUGGGGGCAAUGGAGAAAACCCUCCGGCUGGUCGGACCCCAGCUCGACC
rnacentral:lncRNA from 1 species